ACACCAAGCAUCACCUCUCCUUCUCAAUCCUCCAUUUGCAUCUCUCUCUCUCUCUCUCUCAAAGUAACAGAAGGGGCGCGGGCGCAGUGGGUGCAGAGUGAGUGGGAUAAAAGAAUUCAAUGGUGGUUCCUUCAGGGCGGCUGAUCAAGUGUCUAUCUCUUCCAUCAUUGCCUCCUACCACUACCACCACCGCUAACCUUCUUCACGACAUCGCUUCAAACCAUCACAAAGGUAUUGGUAAGGUUGUUCUAAAGAAGGGGAAGACACGACUCUUCAAGGAUGGAAGUCCGAUGGUUUACAGCGGGGCUGUCGAUCGGAUAAUUGGAAGACCGCCACCCAGGACCGGGGAUAUCGUGCUUGUGGCUGAUGGGACGGAGAAACCAAUUGGUUGGGGCUUGUACAACUCUACUUCUAUGUACUGUGUUCGGCUCAUGCAGCUAGAAGAGGAAGUAGUGAGAGAUCCUUCUUGUGCAUUGAGCAUGGAGAAUCUGCUUGAAGUAAGAAUUCACGCUGCAACUCAGUUGCGUAGGUGUUUGGGGCUGCCAUCUGCCCAUACGAAUGCUUACCGUCUCGUUAACAGUGAAGGAGACAGGUUGUCAGGCCUUGUUGUUGAUGUCUUCGGGGAUUCAGCUGUAAUUGCAUCAUCUGCAGCUUGGGUCGAGAAGUACAAGCCACAAAUAAAAACUUGCAUAAGUAGUUUGGAUGGAAUCAAUUAUCUAAGCUGGAGACCCUCCAUUGAGUUCUUAAAAGAAGAAGGAAUGAAUUUAUCAAACUCGGAGGAAGUAUCUUCUCUGACGACUCCUGCACGGGUAAAGGUUAAGGAAAACGGGAUUUCUUAUUUGAUCUCAUUGGAGGGCCAGAAGACAGGAUUUUAUGCUGAUCAGCGUGAAAACCGUCAGUUCAUAGCCACAAUUUCAGAAGGACAGAGAGUCCUUGAUAUGUACUGCUAUAGUGGCGGUUUUGCUAUGAACGCAGCACGUGGUGGUGCUAGAAAUGUCACUGGUGUUGAUUCAUCAGUGCCUGCUUUGGAGCUAGCCAGGGAAAAUGUUAUUCUGAACGAGCUGGAUCCGGGGGGAAUUUCGUUUUUAAGACGAGACGCAGCUGAUUUUAUGAAGGAUGCUUUUUCUAGGAAUGAAACAUGGGACCUUGUUAUCGUGGAUCCCCCUAAACUAGCACCUCGGAGAAAGGUUCUACAAAGUGCAUCUGGCAUGUACAGAAAUUUAUACUCGUUGGCGAUGCGGUUAACGAAAAAGGGCGGUCUUCUUAUGACUUGCUCAUGCUCUGGAGCUAUGACCCAAAGUGGAACCUACUUGCAUGUACUUCAGGCAUGUGACUGCUACCACCGAAAACAAGCUCUUUAUGAUGACAAAUUGACAAUUAGCUAGUCUUUGUUUAAUGUACAAUUCUGAUUCAUAGUUUGCUUUGGCCAGGCUGCUGCAUCAAGUGUUGGGAGGAAAGUGACAAUUAUACGUCAGGCUGGAGCAGCUUGUGAUCAUCCUAUUGAUCCGUCGUAUCCGGAAGGGGCUUACCUUUCCAAUAUCUUGCUUAGAGUGCUAUGAAAAUUGUCAACCACCUAUGCCAUCCAACCCACCACAAGAAACUUCUCACUUCUCCUUUGUGCAUCAGUGGACUAAAUUAGUAACCAUGCAAAGAAAUUUAGAAUGUGUGGCCAGUAGAUCAUGCUUGGGGCAAUCUUAAAUUACCCAUCAGUAUGUAUUUUACAAGAAUACUUUGCCAAAUAUUCAUGAGAUUGUAUACAGGUUCUGGUAAUGGUAAUUGAUUCAUUACCCUGUUUUAUAUAGUCCAAGCAUGGAGUAGCUUAAAGCAAAGUUUUCUGAUACCCUACAGAAACCACAAUUCAAUUUCCAUACAACUACAAUGUUAUGAGCUCAUCAUUUCAUAG